CUUAUUAUUUGCAUUUUUGAGCAAGAAAAAGGGCUUACUAGUGAUAGAUUAUUGACGUUGCUGUUGUUCAAGGUAUUAGAGCCUGAUGGUGUCGCAGUCAGGUUAGCAAUCACGGUGGAAGGGCGUGUUUGAGUCUGGUUGGCGGUUAUGUUGGGAGGGUUUGUCUGGGUCAGGUUGGCGGUUAUGUUGGGAGGGUUUGUCUGGGUCAGGUUGGCGGUUAUGUUGGGAGGGUUUGUCUGGGUCAGGUUGGCGGUUAUGUUGGGAGGGUUUGUCUGGGUCAGGUUGGCGGUUAUGUUGGGAGGGUUUGUCUGGGACAGGUUGGCGGUUAUGUUGGGAGGGUGUGUCUGGGUCAGGUUGGCGGUUAUGUUGGGAGGGUUUGUCUGGGUCAGGUUGGCGGUUAUGUUGGGAGGGUUUGCCUGGGUCAGGUUGACGGUUAUGUUGGGAGGGUUUGUCUGGGUCAGGUUGGCGGUUAUGUUGGGAGGGUGUGUCUGGGUCAGGUUGGCGGUUAUGUUGGGAGGGUUUGUCUGGGUCAGGUUGGCGGUUAUGUUGGGAGGGUGUGUCUGGGUCAGGUUGGUGGUUAUGUUUGGAGGGUUUGUCUGGGUCAGGUUGGUGGUUAUGUUGGGAGGGUAUGUUUGGGGCAGGAUAGCGGUUAUGUUGGGAGGGUGUGUUUGGGUCAGGUUGGUGGUUAUGUUGGGAGUUUGUGUUUGGGGCAGGUUGGUGGUUAUGUUGGAAGGGUGUGUUUGUGUCAGGUUAGCGGUCAUGUUGAAAGGGCCCAUCUGGGUUGGGUUUGUGGUCAUAUUAAAAGGGCUCAUCUGGUUCGGGUUUGUGGUCAUGUUGAGAGGGCCCAUCUGGGAUAGGUUUGUAGUCAUAUUAAGAGGGCCUAUCUGGGUAAGGCUGGUGGUCAUGUUGAGAGGACCAAUCUGGGUUGGGUUUGUGGUCAUGUUAAAAGGGCUUAACUGGUCGGGGUUUGUGGUCAUGUUGAGAGGGCCCAUCAGGGAUGGGUUUGUAGUCAUAUUAAGAGGGCCAGUCUGGGUAAGGCUGGUGGUCAUGUUGAGAGGACCCAUCUGGGUAAGGUUAAGGUUUAUGUUGGGAGGUCCUGUUUGAGUUAAGUUUGAAGUUAUGUUGAAGGGACCGACCUGGUUUAGGUUGGUGGUCAUGCUGGGUGGGUUCGUCUGGGUCAGGUUGGUGGUAAUGUUGGGUGGUAGUGUCUGGGUCAGGUUGGUGGUCAUGUUGGUUGGUAGCGUCUGGGUCAGGCUGGUGGUCAUGUUAGAAGAUAUCCAGCUGUCUGUAGAGUUGCUACUGCUUGUUGUAUUGCUCCCAUUGACUCCAAGCAUCAUGCAUGCUAUCCCCAGGAUAGCCACAUAAAUCCAUUUACUCCUCAUCCGUGAUCUUUAUGUGCUUAUGUAUCUGUUAAUCGUGCAGUUUUUGUUACCUAUAAUUUAAAAGAAAACAAAUCAUCUUGUAUAAUCAACAAAAAAAAAUAAACAUUUUGGAUAAUUUAAAUUUGAUUUUAAAAGCCAUUAACGAAAGGCAGGCUUUAUCUGAAAGACUUUGUCGUUCAUAAUCUUUUAUCAUUCCUUCCCAGACACAAACAAGCAUGAACCUG
ensembl:lncRNA